rnacentral:rRNA from 1 species
CAGUCGCCGCGGUAAUACGUAGGGUGCAAGCGUUAAUCGGAAUUACUGGGCGUAAAGCGUGCGCAGGCGGUUAUAUAAGACAGAUGUGAAAUCCCCGGGCUCAACCUGGGAACUGCAUUUGUGACUGUAUAGCUAGAGUACGGCAGAGGGGGAUGGAAUUCCGCGUGUAGCAGUGAAAUGCGUAGAUAUGCGGAGGAACACCGAUGGCGAAGGCAAUCCCCUGGGCCUGUACUGACGCUCAUGCACGAAAGCGUGGGGAGCAAACAGGAUUAGAUACCCGAGUAGUCCCUGUCUCUUAUCC